rnacentral:rRNA from 1 species
AACGAACGCUGGCGGCAUGCCUAACACAUGCAAGUCGAACGAAGGCUUCGGCCUUAGUGGCGCACGGGUGCGUAACGCGUGGGAAUCUGCCCUUUGGUUCGGAAUAACAGCUGGAAACGGCUGCUAAUACCGGAUGAUGACGAAAGUCCAAAGAUUUAUCGCCAGAGGAUGAGCCCGCGUUGGAUUAGGUAGUUGGUGGGGUAAAGGCCUACCAAGCCGACGAUCCAUAGCUGGUCUGAGAGGAUGAUCAGCCACACUGGGACUGAGACACGGCCCAGACUCCUACGGGAGGCAGCAGUGGGGAAUAUUGGACAAUGGGCGCAAGCCUGAUCCAGCAAUGCCGCGUGAGUGAUGAAGGCCCUAGGGUUGUAAAGCUCUUUUACCCGGGAAGAUAAUGGCUGUACCGGGAGAAUAAGCCCCGGCUAACUCCGUG